UAAGGAAUCUUCCACAAUGGGCGAAAGCCUGAUGGAGCAACGCCGCGUGCAGGAUGAAGGCCCUCGGGUCGUAAACUGCUUUUAUGAGUGAAGAAUAUGACGGUAACUCAUGAAUAAGGGUCGGCUAACUACGUGCCAGCAGCCGCGGUCAUACGUAGGACCCAAGCGUUAUCCGGAGUGACUGGGCGUAAAGAGUUGCGUAGGUGGCUUGUAAAGCAAAUAGUGAAAUCUGGGGGCUCAACCUCACAGGCUAUUAUUUGAACUCACAAGCUCGAGAACAGCAGAGGUAACUGGAAUUUCUGAAGUAGGGGUAAUAUCCGUAGAUAUCAGAAGGAACACCAAUGGCGUAGGCAGGUUACUGGGCUGUUUCUGACACUGAGGCACGAAAGCGUGGGGAGCGAACCGG
rnacentral:rRNA from 1 species